CCUACGGGCGGCAGCAGUGAGGAAUAUUGGUCAAUGGGCGCGAGCCUGAACCAGCCAAGUCGCGUGAGGGAGGACGGCCCUACGGGUUGUAAACCUCUUUUGCCGGGGAGCAACGGGCGCCACGUGUGGCGUCACUGAGAGUACCCGGAGAAAAAGCAUCGGCUAACUCCGUGCCAGCAGCCGCGGUAAUACGGAGGAGGCGAGCGUUAUCCGGAUUUAUUGGGUUUAAAGGGUGCGUAGGCGGAUCGUUAAGUCAGUGGUCAAAUUGAGGGGCUCAACCCCUUCCCGCCAUUGAAACUGGCGUGGUUGAGUGGAAGAGUGGUAUGCGGAAUGCGUGGUGUAGCGGUGAAAUGCGUAGAGAUCACGCAGAACCCCGAUGGCGAAGGCAGCAUGCCGGCUUCCGACUGACGCUGAAGCACGAAAGCGUGGGGAUCGAACAGGAUUAGAUACCCUGGUAGUC
rnacentral:rRNA from 1 species